rnacentral:sRNA from 1 species
GCGCCCGGGCGGGCCGGGGGCCGUGGCGGAGGAGGAGCGCUGCACGGUGGAGCGUCGGGCCGACCUCACCUACGCGGAGUUCGUGCAGCAGUACGUGCGCCCUUGAUCGCGGAGGUCGCGUCUUGUUCACCCGCCUGCCUGCCCGGACCGCCCAAGGCCGCCUUCCCCUGACUUCGCGCGCGCGUGUGGCGUUGGGGCUGCGAGGGUGGCGGUCGGGCCUGGCCGCGAUUCUGCCCUUCUUUCCAGAGGUUCCGGGCCCUGUGCUCCCGCGAAAGGUUGCUGGCUUCGUUUGGGGACAGAGUGGUCCGGCUGAGCACCGCCAACACCUACUCCUACCACAAAGUGGACUUGCCCUUCCAGGAGUACGUGGAGCAGCUGCUGCACCCCCAGGACCCCACCUCCCUGGGCAAUGACACCCUGUACUUCUUCGGGGACAACAACUUCACCGAGUGGGCCUCUCUUUUUCGGCACUACUCCCCACCCCCAUUUGGCCUGCUGGGAACCGCUCCAGCUUACAGCUUUGGAAUCGCAGGAGCUGGCUCGGGGGUGCCCUUCCAUUGGCAUGGGCCCGGGUACUCAGAGGUGAUCUACGGUCGUAAGGUCAGCACGGGGUGGGGGUUGAGGCUUGGGGCUCGCUGACCAAAAUGGGCAAGGGUGACAGUGCUGCUUGUGCCCCCAGCGCUGGUUCCUUUACCCACCUGAGAAGACGCCAGAGUUCCACCCCAACAAGACCACGCUGGCCUGGCUCCGGGACACAUACCCAGCCCUGCCACCGUCUGCACGGCCCCUGGAGUGUACCAUCCGGGCUGGUGAGGUCAGUGGCUGGCAGGAGGGCCAAGCCAGGCCAGAGGCCCAGAGCUAAUCUCUGCUGCACUCCCUUCCUCCACCAGGUGCUGUACUUCCCCGACCGCUGGUGGCAUGCUACGCUCAACCUUGACACCAGCGUCUUCAUCUCCACCUUCCUCGGCUAGCCAAAACAGCUGGCAGGCCUGCCUGUCACACACCGGCACGUCCCACCUCGUGCUCACGGAUUUUAUUACACAGAUAGUGGCAGCAGUGGCCUCAGCCCAGCCCACCCUCACCUGCUUUUCCAGCCCACAAAGGGGGACGAUCACAGCCCAGCAAGAGCGAUGCUGAGAGGGGGAACAGUCCAAAGUCCAACAGCAGAACUUGGGGGGAAGGGGUUGGGGUGGCCAGGAACACAAACUAUGUACAGGGGCCGG